GGCGCACGGGUGCGUAACACGUGGGGAAUACUGCCCUUCGGUUCGGAAUAACAGUUAGAAAUGACUGCUAAUACCGGAUGAUGACGUAAGUCCAAAGAUUUAUUCGCCGAAGGAUGAGCCCGCGUAGGAUUAGGUAGUUGUAGGGUAAUGGCCUACCAAGCCGACGAUCCUUAGCUGGUCUGAGAGGAUGAUCAGCCACACUGGGACUGAGACACGGCCCAGACUCCUACGGGAGGCAGCAGUGGGGAAUAUUGGACAAUGAGCGAAAGCCUGAUCCAGCAAUGCCGCGUGAGUGAUGAAGGCCUUAGGGUUGUAAAGCUCUUUUACCAGGGAUGAUAAUGACAGUACCUGGAGAAUAAGCUCCGGCUAACUCCGUG
rnacentral:rRNA from 1 species